ensembl:lncRNA
UGUAGGAGCUACUAUUGGAGAGGUAGAACAAAGCUGAGUCCUGCUUUUCAAAGGCAGUAGAAGGAAAAACCCAACAGUAGGAUGAUGAUGACUGAGGAUUCAAGCGAGCACCACCAGAGGUAACAACUUAACUGGGCCCUUAACAGAAGGUGGGAAUGCUGUCAGCAAAAUCAAACUGUACAAUAGAUUAUUUUUUAAAAAAUGGCUGUUACCUCUGUCAGAUACUGGACAACAAAUGUGUGAGACUAGUGAAUGUCUAGACACUUCUGUCUUAUACCAAAAUUGCUUGCCAGACUGAAACUGUAAAAUUAAAGCUGGAAGAUUAUCAACAAAGCGAUCAUCAGUUCAGAAAGGUGGCUGCCAGCACAGGAAACGUAUGACUUUUCAAGACAUCACUGCAAGGAGCAAUAGCACAGACUUUGUUUCCCCCAGAUCUCCUAUACAACUCCAGAUCAGCACACACAAAUACCAGGAAACAAGACCUGAUGAUCUUACGCUUCUCUUGUUGAAGUAGCAAUUACACAUCUCUUCUCAAGCAAUCUUUUUUGUCUUACAUCCUUGUGACUCCCUUGUUCUGGCACCUCUGCAGAUUGAUAGUGUGGCAUGGAAUUUCCCCUUCCCAGGAAAAGCUAUGAGGAUGUCAUGCAGGAUGGCUCUUCAGAGCAGACUGCUGGCUGCCUGCUCACAGCAGAGGAGGCUCAGCUGCCCCCGCCAUGGUAUCUCAGUAAGGCCAGCAGUCUGUGCCUGCAGAGGGGACAUGGGGCAGACAUGACCCAUCUGUACUCAAAUGCUGUGGAGGUACCAUAUAGGUAAGAAAAAGCCAGAAACCUUAUAUAUAAUGCUCCUGCUCCACAUAGAUGUUGUUCCCUCAGCUAGCAGUGUUGCACAUGUGGUCAUUGCCCUGUACAUUGGCUGGGCUGGAAGGUUUUAUGUGAAGGGAAAAGUUCAAAUGGAAGCUAUAUGCAGCUGGUCAGAAGCAAGCUACCUGG